AUACCUUUCUCGACCUUUUGGCUAAGAUCAAGUGUAGUAUUUGUUCUUAUCAGUUUAAUAUCUAAUACAUGGUUUAAUGAACCACACGAUCAGGAUAUUAAAUUGAUUUCUUUAGGGGGAAGUCUCAAACGGUAGCCUUCUGCUAGAGUGUGCUUCGCUUCUGUAUUCCACUACAACAGAAGCCUGGCACACCCCAC